GUGAGGAAUAUUGGUCAAUGGGCGGGAGCCUGAACCAGCCAAGUCGCGUGAAGGAAGAAGGAUCUAUGGUUCGUAAACUUCUUUUGCAGGGGAAUAAAGUGCAGGACGUGUCCUGUUUUGUAUGUACCCUGAGAAUAAGGAUCGGCUAACUCCGUGCCAGCAGCCGCGGUAAUACGGAGGAUCCGAGCGUUAUCCGGAUUUAUUGGGUUUAAAGGGUGCGUAGGUGGUUUGAUAAGUCAGCGGUGAAAGUUUGCAGCUUAACUGUAAAAAUGCCGUUGAGACUGUCGGACUUGAGUGUAAAUGAGGUAGGCGGAAUGCGUGGUGUAGCGGUGAAAUGCAUAGAUAUCACGCAGAACUCCGAUUGCGAAGGCAGCUUACUAAGCUACAACUGACACUGAAGCACGAAAGCGUGGGGAUCAAACAGGAUUAGAUACCCGAGUAGUCC
rnacentral:rRNA from 1 species